rnacentral:lncRNA from 1 species
CACCAACAUCAUCAGGUUAUUUUCUCUGCCCUCCACAGGAUCGUGGAAUCUGGAUCUUGUCCCCUUUUGACCUUGCAAACUUGCGUCAAGAGUAUAGCCCUCGUAAUGCCAACUGAGGAAUGCCUGGCUGUCCCCAGGAGUACCCACAUUUGGUUUUUGGCAAAGACUGAGUAUUCGCCAGGUUAAAGUCAUUACGCUGGAAACGGAAGAGUCAAUAUUCCUGUGUAAAGAGUUGAACUCAACUUGUCUUGGAAAGAGCCCUUGCCUCGUUC